AUUUCUUGUCACAGCUUUGUUCUCUGUGAUAACUCUUUAGGUAUUCCUUCGAAAAUGACGUAAGUGCAUACAGAAAUGACAACCCUUCUACUAGUGAUUAGCCUGGUCGUGAUUAGCGUGGUGGUGAUUAUUAACCCACCGUGCGGGGCUGCACUCGGAAGAAGAAAGGCUUAGAAAUCAAGCCUGAAUCAUCGAAAACCCCCGCACCGAAAGGUCCGGGGGUUUUUUUAUGACCUAAAACUUAAGCGAGGAACAGAGAAUGAGUAGUAGCAUAAAAUUCUGUUGUCCGCAUUGUAA
rfam:Cronobacter sakazakii ATCC BAA-894, complete genome.